UUGCUCCAUAAUCUCUUGCUAAAGAGAAUGAGUUGAUGUUUACAGUACUUAGUUGGGAUUCAAAUACUGAUUCAUUUCAAUUCUCUGCCCUGCCAGAGACCUUCUAUUUGGCCAGGAGCAAUUCCAUUAAGACUUUUUUCCUCAUAUGUAAAAUGUAGGAAAAAAACAUUGCAGGAGAAUACUGAGAAUAUAUCAAUUAUAGUGUUCACUUACUGCCUCAGUAUUGAAACAAAGAAAAGAGUUGAAGGACCAUGUGGUCUCUCAGGAUGCCAACAUUUCCUUAUGACAUCAGAUCUUCAUUAUAGAUUGAUUCUUUGUCUAAAACAUUCUAAUGAACAGAGAGGAGCUGUUCAAGAGCAAGUCUAGAUUCUUCAAGGGAAGGUAGGUAGAAAGUGCGCAAGCUUAGUAUCUCAAUAUACUUGUUACAUAUAAAUGAUUGGGAAUUUUUCUCAUUUUAUUUCAUAUUUGGAAACCAAAUGAGUAAGUUCUCUUCUGCUUAGCACAUACAGUUCUGAUUCAGUGGAAUCACUUGGAAUCAAUGGAAGCUCUUUUAGGGUCCAGUAGAACACACAAGCUUGGCUUGCAAAUGAAUUUUACAUUUUGUUUCUCAAGCUCUUGCUACUGUGGGAGAGAAUACGACUUCAUCUUAAUUAUUCAGUUAACUCAGUCUUUAUGACCACAUCACAUAGCACAUUGUUUAUGAGAAGGAAACAUUUAAUAUUUUCUGCUGCAUAGCAUACUAUAUAAUUGGGACAGACAGUAUGUUCCAUGCAUAAGUCUUGUUUGAGAGAUAUAUCCAGUAUUCAACAAAACCUCAUGGGAAUUGCAGUCAUUGACCGAGGUCCUUCUAUCAAAAGCUACUUAGCUGGAACUGAAGGGAGGGCAGAAAAAUCAUUAAUACUAAAUCUUGCCCAGUUAGCUCAAAACUACUAUCCACUAAUAUUGGAUACAAACUGUCCAUAAUAUUCUGAGCCGAUUUUGUACAUGUUGUGAGAGUAGUGACUUUACCAGGCUUGUCCCAGUGAUGUAUUUGACUCAAAAGUAAAAUUAAUUCCAUAUUUAGUUUGGGAAAAAAAAAAAAAAAAAGAAAAAAAAAAACAAUGUAAGACUUUGAAACUAUAAAAUCAUUUGUAGUCAUUAAUCUAUUUCUAGUUAUCUAUCAGUAAGGACUAAUCAACUAAUCAUAAUUUUAACAAGUAAUAAGAAUAAAAAGAUCACUCCAAAAUACUAGAUUGUUUUUCAUUUUAAAUAUCUUCUAUGCUUUAGAUUGGCAUGGACUGUUUUAUAUUUUCCUCCUUUGAAAAGAUAUGGGCAUCUUGGUUGAGUGCCAGUGGGCAGCAAAUGUGCCCAGCACUGCCUAGGAAUAAGGAGCAUGGAUUAAGGGAAGUGAUUACUCCCUUCACUUUGUACUUGUUAGUCUGCAACUGGAAUGCUACAUCCAGUUUAGGUUUCCCAGUAAAGGAAAAUGUU
rnacentral:lncRNA from 1 species